rnacentral:rRNA from 1 species
UACAGAGGGGGCAAGCGUUGUUCGGAAUUACUGGGCGUAAAGGGCGCGUAGGCGGCCUUCUAAGUCGAACGUGAAAUCCCCGGGCUCAACCCGGGAACUGCGUCCGAUACUGGAAGGCUUGAAUCCGGGAGAGGGAUGCGGAAUUCCAGGUGUAGCGGUGAAAUGCGUAGAUAUCUGGAGGAACACCGGUGGCGAAGGCGGCAUCCUGGACCGGCAUUGACGCUGAGGCGCGAAGCCAGGGGAGCAAACGGG